AAACUUGAGAGUUUGAUCCUGGCUCAGAACGAACGCUGGCGGCAGGCUUAACACAUGCAAGUCGAACGGGCGUAGCAAUACGUCAGUGGCAGACGGGUGAGUAACACGUGGGAACCUUCCUAGGGGUACGGAACAACUCAGGGAAACUUGAGCUAAUACCGUAUACGUCCGUAAGGAGAAAGAUUUAUCGCCCUUAGACGGGCCCGCGUCGGAUUAGCUA
rnacentral:rRNA from 1 species